rnacentral:rRNA from 1 species
GUGGGGAAUCUUGCGCAAUGGGCGAAAGCCUGACGCAGCCAUGCCGCGUGAAUGAUGAAGGUCUUAGGAUUGUAAAAUUCUUUCACCGGGGACGAUAAUGACGGUACCCGGAGAAGAAGCUCCGGCUAACUUCGUGCCAGCAGCCGCGGUAAUACGAAGGGGGCUAGCGUUGCUCGGAAUUACUGGGCGUAAAGGGCGCGUAGGCGGACAGCUUAGUCAGAGGUGAAAGCCCAGGGCUCAACCUUGGAAUUGCCUUUGAUACUGGCUGUCUUGAGUUUGUGAGAGGUGAGUGGAAUUCCGAGUGUAGAGGUGAAAUUCGUAGAUAUUCGGAGGAACACCAGUGGCGAAGGCGGCUUACUGGUCCAUUACUGACGCUGAGGUGCGAAAGCGUGGGGAGCAAACAGGAUUAGAAACCCGGGUAGUCC